CCUACGGGAGGCAGCAGUGGGGAAUAUUGGGCAAUGGGCGCAAGCCUGACCCAGCAACGCCGCGUGAAGGAAGAAGGCCUUCGGGUUGUAAACUUCUUUUAAGAGGGAAGAGGAGAAGACGGUACCUCUUGAAUAAGCCACGGCUAACUACGUGCCAGCAGCCGGGGUAAUACGUAGGUGGCAAGCGCUGUCCGGAUUUACUGGGAGUAAAGGGCGUGCAGCCGGGCUGAGAAGUCAGAUGUGAAAUCCCGUGGCUCAACCACGGAACUGCAUUUGAAACUGCCGGUCUUGAGUAUCGGAGAGGCAGGCGGAAUUCCUGGUGUAGCGGUGAAAUGCGUAGAGAUUAGGAGGAACACCAGUGGCGAAGGCGGCCUGCUGGACGACAACUGACGGUGAGGCGCGAAAGCGUGGGGAGCAAACAGGAUUAGAUACCCGAGUAGUC
rnacentral:rRNA from 1 species